rnacentral:rRNA from 1 species
UACGGGGGGGGCAAGCGUUGUCCGGAUUUAUUGGGCGUAAAGAGCGUGUAGGCGGCCUGAAAGGUCAGCUGUGAAAACUCGAGGCUCAACCUCGAGACGUCGGUUGAAACCAUCUGGCUAGAGUCCGGAAGAGGAGUGUGGAAUUCCCGGUGUAGCGGUGAAAUGCGCAGAUAUCGGGAAGAACACCCGUGGCGAAGGCGGCACUCUGGGACGGUACUGACGCUGAGACGCGAAAGCGUGGGGAGCGAACAGG